UUUAAUGAGAGUUUGAUCCUGGCUCAGGACGAACGCUGGCGGCGUGCCUAAUACAUGCAAGUAGAACGCUGAUGUUUGGUGUUUACACUAGACUGAUGAGUUGCGAACGGGUGAGUAACGCGUAGGUAACCUGCCUCAUAGCGGGGGAUAACUAUUGGAAACGAUAGCUAAUACCGCAUAAGAGUAAUUAACACAUGUUAGUUAUUUAAAAGGAGCAAUUGCUUCACUGUGAGAUGGACCUGCGUUGUAUUAGCUAGUUGGUGAGGUAA
rnacentral:rRNA from 1 species